rnacentral:rRNA from 1 species
UACGGAGGGUGCGAGCGUUAAGCGGAAUUACUGGGCGUAAAGCGCGCGUAGGCGGUUUGUUAAGUCAGCUGUGAAAGCCCCGGGCUCAACCUGGGAACUGCAGUUGAUACUGGCCGACUGGAGUGCGAGAGAGGGAGGUAGAAUUCCAUGUGUAGCGGUGAAAUGCGUAGAUAUAUGGAGGAAUACCGGUGGCGAAGGCGGCCUCCUGGCUCGACACUGACGCUGAGGUGCGAAAGCGUGGGGAGCAAACAGG